CAGCAGUCGCCGCGGUAAUACGGAGGGGGCUAGCGUUGUUCGGAAUUACUGGGCGUAAAGCGCACGUAGGCGGCUUGGUAAGUUAGAGGUGAAAGCCUGGAGCUCAACUCCAGAAUUGCCUUUAAGACUGCCGAGCUAGCAGGUGAGAGAGGUAAGUGGAAUUCCGAGUGUAGAGGUGAAAUUCGUAGAUAUUCGGAAGAACACCAGUGGCGAAGGCGGCUUACUGGCUCAUACUGGACGCUGAGGUGCGAAAGCGUGGGGAGCAAACAGGAUUAGAUACCCCCGUAGUCCCUGUCUCUUAUAC
rnacentral:rRNA from 1 species